rnacentral:rRNA from 1 species
GGGGAAAGAUUUAUCGGGGAAGGAUUGGCCCGCGUUGGAUUAGCUAGUUGGUGGGGUAAAGGCCUACCAAGGCGACGAUCCAUAGCUGGUCUGAGAGGAUGAUCAGCCACAUUGGGACUGAGACACGGCCCAAACUCCUACGGGAGGCAGCAGUGGGGAAUAUUGGACAAUGGGCGCAAGCCUGAUCCAGCCAUGCCGCGUGAGUGAUGAAGGCCUUAGGGUUGUAAAGCUCUUUCACCGAUGAAGAUAAUGACGGUAGUCGGAGAAGAAGCCCCGGCUAACUUCGUGCCAGCAGCCGCGGUAAUACGAAGGGGGCUAGCGUUGUUCGGAAUUACUGGGCGUAAAGCGCACGUAGGCGGAUAUUUAAGUCAGGGGUGAAAUCCCGCAGCUCAACUGCGGAACUGCCUUUGAUACUGGGUAUCUUGAGUAUGGAAGAGGUAAGUGGAAUUCCGAGUGUAGAGGUGAAAUUCGUAGAUAUUCGGAGGAACACCAGUGGCGAAGGCGGCUUACUGGUCC